CCAUUACAAAACAAAAAUAAACUAAACCUAGGCCCAAGCCCUAACAGCCCACUAACUAAAUUUCAGCAGAAACCCUAAGCAAGAAACCACCAGCCGCCGCAACUACCGUGCACCCCUCUUUGCGCGCCUCCGUCUGCGCACCACCCCUCCGUAAAUGCCGCUCCGCACGCCUCCACGUACCUGCGAGAAAAGCGGAUCCAACAUCAGUAUUCAUCGCAACAAUAACAAGAAAAUAUGGAUUUUUUUUGAUUUUAUUUGAUAUUUGGAUGUUUUAUUUCGGUUAUAUAAACCGAUUAUAAAAAUGUAAAAGGGAAGAGAUUUUCGGUGAAAAAAAGGGGGGGAGAAAAUAUUGUAUUGGAAAAAUACUAAAUCAAAAGGAAAAAGAAUUUUUGAAGGUAUUUUCGGGGAUUUUUCUUAUUUUUUUAUUUUUGUUCUUUAUUUUAAAACUAAACGAAAGGAAAAGGAAAAGGGGUGCUCACCUGCGUUGACCUGCCCGAAUCGGAGCCGGAGUGAGGCGUCUUGCUCGCUGAAACUCGGG
rnacentral:lncRNA from 1 species